AUUAAUAAAUUAAUUUUUUUAUUUUUUUUUAGGUUAAUGUGCCUUUUGCAUCAUGCUUAAUAGAUAAUUAAAAGUAAUUAACUUUAAAAUCGAAAAACUCAGAUUUCUUACAUAGUUGUUUUGAUAAUAAAUCGUGUAGAUACUUAUAAACUUUGUAAUCGAUAGUGAUAAAUAAAUCGUUGAGUUUUAUAGCUAUUUAAUGACUUAUAAAUUUAUAAUACCUUAUAAGCGAUGAUGUUUAUAAGAGAAAUAUAUUUCGGUUUUAUUUUUAUUAAAAAAAGGUUAAAAAUACUUAAUUUUUAUAAGAAUGUUACAAUUUUAGUUUAAAGUAUCAUGUUAAAUUAUUUAUAAAAGUCAUUUAUAAAAAUAUUUAGUAAAAUAUAAAUUAUUAAAUAAGUAAUAAUAAUAUAUUUAAUUGUUUCUCAAGUUUUGCCCGUCUGUUUAUUAAAAACAUUUCCAUAAUAAUAAAUUUUAUGGUAGUACCUGCUCUAUGUUCAUAUAAAUGGCCGCAGUAUUUUGACUGUGCGAAGGUAGCAUAAUUAAUUGCCUUAUAAUUGAAGGCUUGUCUGAAUGGUUUGACGUGGUAAAUACAAACAUUUAAUAUAUAAUUGAAAUUAAUUUUGGGGGCACAGAAUCCCCAAGUUUUAAUUAGACGGAAAGACCCCGGGAUCUUUUAUUUUUGCCUGGGGCAGGUAUAAAUUUUUCAUUUAUAUUGAGACCCUUAAAUAAAGUUUAAUGAGCUAAGUUACCCCGGGGAUAACAGUGUAAUAAUAUAUUAGAGACCAUAUCGAAUGUAUUGUUUGCUACCUCGAUGUUGACUUAGAUAAAUAUCUUAGGCGCAGUAGUUUAGGAUUUUGGUCUGUUCGACCUAAAUUAUCUCCAUGAGUUGAGUUAAGACCGGCGUGAGCCAGGUCGGUUCUUAUCUAUUUAUCUGAAUUAUUAGUACGAAAGGAUUGUAAUUCAUUUUUUU
rnacentral:rRNA from 1 species